AAGAGCAUAAUUUAAUGGUAAAAUAGGAAGCUUCAAACUUCAAAUUCUUAGUUCAAAUCUAAGUGUUCUUG
rnacentral:tRNA from 1 species